UGGGGAAUAUUGCACAAUGGGCGCAAGCCUGAUGCAGCGACGCCGCGUGAGGGAUGACGGCCUUCGGGUUGUAAACCUCUUUCAAUAGGGACGAAGCGCAAGUGACGGUACCUAUAGAAGAAGGACCGGCCAACUACGUGCCAGCAGCCGCGGUAAUACGUAGGGUCCGAGCGUUGUCCGGAAUUACUGGGCGUAAAGAGCUCGUAGGUGGUUUGUCGCGUUGUUCGUGAAAACUCACAGCUUAACUGUGGGCGUGCGGGCGAUACGGGCAGACUAGAGUACUGCAGGGGAGACUGGAAUUCCUGGUGUAGCGGUGGAAUGCGCAGAUAUUCAGGAGGAACACCCGGUGGCGAAGGCGGGUCUCUGGGCAGUAACUGACGCUGAGGAGCGAAAGCGUGGGGAGCGAACAGGAUUAGAUAGCCCUGGUAGUCCACGCCGUAAACGGUGGGUACUAGGUGUGGGUUUCCUUCCUUGGGAUCCGUGCCGUAGCUAACGCAUUAAGUACCCCGCCUGGGGAGUACGGCCGCAAGGCUAA
rnacentral:rRNA from 1 species